GCCGGUCCUCGGUAGUGGCAUCCGGAAGGCCCCACGGGCCACGAACCGGGUGCUUCGAUCGAAGACCGGC
rfam:Streptomyces sp. Mg1, complete genome.